rnacentral:rRNA from 1 species
UACGUAGGAGGCAAGCGUUGUCCGGAAUUACUGGGCGUAAAGCGCGUGUAGGUGGUGGGACAAGUCUGCUGUGAAAGCGCCUGGCUUAACCGGGCGAGGUCGGCGGAAAACUGUCCGACUCGAGGACGGUAGAGGGGGGGUGGAAUUCCCGGUGUAGUGGUGAAAUGCGUAGAGAUCGGGAGGAACACCUGUGGCGAAAGCGGCUCACUGGACCAUAACUGACGCUGAUGCACGAAAGCUAGGGGAGCAAACAGG